UAGGGAAUCUUCGGCAAUGGACGAAAGUCUGACCGAGCGACGCCGCGUGAGUGAAGAAGGUUUUCGGAUCGUAAAACUCUGUUGUUAGAGAAGAACAAGGACGUUAGUAACUGAACGUCCCCUGACGGUAUCUAACCAGAAAGCCACGGCUAACUACGUGCCAGCAGCCGCGGUAAUACGUAGGUGGCAAGCGUUGUCCGGAUUUAUUGGGCGUAAAGCGAGCGCAGGCGGUUUCUUAAGUCUGAUGUGAAAGCCCCCGGCUCAACCGGGGAGGGUCAUUGGAAACUGGGAGACUUGAGUGCAGAAGAGGAGAGUGGAAUUCCAUGUGUAGCGGUGAAAUGCGUAGAUAUAUGGAGGAACACCAGUGGCGAAGGCGGCUCUCUGGUCUGUAACGGACGCUGAGGCUCGAAAGCGUGGGGAGCAAACAGG
rnacentral:rRNA from 1 species